GCCAGCAGCCGCGGUAAUACAGAGGGUGCAAGCGUUAAUCGGAAUUACUGGGCGUAAAGCGCGCGUAGGUGGUUUGUUAAGUUGGAUGUGAAAGCCCCGGGCUCAACCUGGGAACUGCAUCCAAAACUGGCAAGCUAGAGUACGGUAGAGGGUGGUGGAAUUUCCUGUGUAGCGGUGAAAUGCGUAGAUAUAGGAAGGAACACCAGUGGCGAAGGCGACCACCUGGACUGAUACUGAC
rnacentral:rRNA from 1 species